UGUGUAGAGGCGAGAAAGAUACC
rnacentral:miRNA from 1 species